rnacentral:snRNA from 1 species
GGGUGUGAGGGCGAUCCAACUGCGACAUCUGUCACCCCACUGAUCGCCAGGGUCGACUGGGCUGAUCUGGCUGGCUAGGCGGGUGUCCCCUGCAUCCCUCACCGCUCCACUUGAGUCCCUCCCGAAGCUGCGCACUUGCACUUGGCUGAAGAGGACGACUUUCCCUGAAUAGAGGCCGACAGGUCUUCAGUCCAGGGUGCAUGAGUAGCUGUGCUCCCCAGCUCGAACCUCCAAACCAGCUCUCAAAAUUCCAAGUAGGGAGAAUGUCCUAAGCUCUGCA